rnacentral:rRNA from 1 species
UACGGAGGGUGCGAGCGUUGUCCGGAAUCACUGGGCGUAAAGGGCGCGUAGGCGGCGCGGAUAGUCGGCGGUGAAAGCCCGGAGCUCAACUCCGGGUCGGCCGUCGAUACUUCCGGGCUUGAGCACUGUAGAGGCAGAUGGAAUUCCGGGUGUAGCGGUGGAAUGCGUAGAGAUCCGGAAGAACACCGGUGGCGAAGGCGGCCUGCUGGGCAGUUGCUGACACUGAGGCGCGACAGCGUGGGGAGCAAACAGG